rnacentral:rRNA from 1 species
CAGCCGCCGCGGGAAUACGGAGGGUGCAAGCGUUAAUCGGAAUUACUGGGCGUAAAGCGUGCGUAGGCGGUUCGUUAAGUCUGUUGUGAAAGCCCCGGGCUCAACCUGGGAAUGGCAAUGGAUACUGGCGAGCUAGAGUGUGUCAGAGGAUGGUGGAAUUCCCGGUGUAGCGGUGAAAUGCGUAGAGAUCGGGAGGAACACCGAUGGCGAAGGCAGCCCCCUGGGUCGAGAUUGACGCUCAUGCACGAAAGCGUGGGGAGCAAACAGGAUUAGAUACCCGUGUAGUCCCUGUCUCUUAUAA